CAGUCGCCGCGUUAAUACAGAGGGUGCGAGCGUUAAUCGGAUUUACUGGGCGUAAAGCGUGCGUAGGCGGCUUCUUAAGUCGGAUGUGAAAUCCCUGAGCUUAACUUAGGAAUUGCAUUCGAUACUGGGAAGCUAGAGUAUGGGAGAGGAUGGUAGAAUUCCAGGUGUAGCGGUGAAAUGCGUAGAGAUCUGGAGGAAUACCGAUGGCGAAGGCAGCCAUCUGGCCUAAUACUGACGCUGAGGUACGAAAGCAUGGGGAGCAAACAGGAUUAGAUACCCCCGUAGUCCCUGUCUCUUAUAC
rnacentral:rRNA from 1 species